UUGUUUUCAUAAUUUUUAAACAGUGACCUUGAUUUUGUUUGCGUCCCGAGCCCGUAACAGUUUGAGCUUCUGUAUACAGCAGUGCAGGAAUCUCUGUGUGGUUGUAUGUUACAGGCAACAAAUGCCUUAAUUGGAAUUCAAACCAUUGACCAGUGUGAUCAGAUUUUAAUGUAUCGAAAAUACGGGAUUUCAAAUAGGUACCAAGUAAC